GAUUUUCUGCCCACACUUGUCACUAGAGGAUAAGUGAGUUUGGGUUUUUGUCAAGCCCUGUGUGAAUGACUCGUUAACUCCAGAGGAACUGGGAUGCCUUGAGUGACACUCUGCGAGCUGGACUGCACUGUGACUUCUGCAUUUCAGGAAUGCGAUUCCUGUCCUUGACCUCGUCUGCAGAUAAAUACAACAUGCCCCUUACUGCUGAGUGGGUUGGGAAGAAUGUCAGCCAGACGAGAGAGGGGAGAUAAAGGAAAGACAGGCUACGAUAGGAACUGGGCUGUCUGAUUCUGCAAUUGGGGAAUUGCCUUUUCUCAGCUGACAGUGUCAAAGUCAAGCUUGCAGUGCACAAAUAAAAUGGGGUAUUCCACACCCCCCCCCUGCACCCUUUCAAUUGUCACUAAUAUUUAGCAGAGGGAAUAUUCAAAACAUUAUUUCCUCCAAUACAGAAUGGCUGUUGGGUGUUACUAGAUCACAAAAGAUAUCUGAGCAGAGUUUUUCUGGCAACAAACAAGAAACAAAGGGAGGAUUAAAAAAAAAAAAAAGUUUUGCUAUAUAUAGUGUUAUGAUUUUUUAUGUAUAUAUAUAUAAAUUAAUGUUGGGAUGUGAAGAAACAAAGAAAAAGAGCAGGCAAGUGUGCUACCAUAAAAUGUUACAGAACUGAAUGUUAUAGCGUCAAGCAUCAGGUAGGGACAUGUGUUGGGGACUAGGAUGGUUGUUUCCACAUAUUAUUGAGAUCAGUGCAAACUCUCCACUACCUUAUUUAACGUGGGAUCAAAGGUUUGAUGGCACCCAGAAAUCCAAAACCAAAAUGUGGCAGGUGUGGGUAACCUCAUGUUACCACAGUCCAUUGCCUCAGAAAGAGGAAUGUUCUUGCAAAUUUGACAUAAUCCAAUUAGUUGAUUCCCUCAGUGACAUUUCUGCAGGCUCAUGUACAGAGGAACAAGGAAAGGGAGAUUUAUGACAGCUAUUCCUAGCAAAGGUCAUUUCUUUAUUAGUGAACAACCUGUCCUGAGUCAUGCUGAUGACGAGGCGUUGAAGGAUAAGGGAGAGGCUGUCUAGCUUUAAAACUUAACAGGGAAUAACAGCGAUAGAGCAUAGAUCAUCUCUCUACACGGACCAGGAGGACUGAAAUCUCCCACCAUCAGGCCAAAGCCAGAGAGUAUGAGGCAAAAUCCAGAAAAAAAUAAACAAACAUGGGGAUUUCUGUGGGGAUUGUGAAGGAGUUUGGAUGGUUCAGCGUCAGCACAGCAGGGGGGAAAGAGGAGCCACAGGCAUGAGUAUGUGUUUUUGGAUAGGAUGAGUGUCCUUGGUGGAACCAGCUGCUUAUAAAGAACCUGGUCUGGUUGUUCUGGGGAAUCCCUGGUCAGCACUGCCAAAUUCCCAGUGUGAGCAGUUCUCAGCAUUCUGUUCCAUGCCAUUUCCAGAACAACACAGAUGAGGGCAUGCUCAAAUGUAUACAAAUACAGUUCCUCUGCUGUCUUUCCAUAGGCAAGGGAAGCAGCAGAACUGACAGGAAUAUGGUUUCAAUAGAUUGUGACAUACAUAUUAUGCAUUUUUAAAUAAUAAACAAGCAUCUGGCUAUUCAUCAC